AACGAACGCUGGCGGCAGGCCUAACACAUGCAAGUCGAACGCCCUAGCAAUAGGGAGUGGCAGACGGGUGAGUAACACGUGGGAACCUUCCCUAUAGUACGGAACAGCCCAGGGAAACUUGGAGUAAUACCGUAUACGCCCGAGAGGGGAAAGAUUUAUCGCUAUAGGAUGGGCCCGCGUAGGAUUAGCUAGUUGGUGAGGUAAUGGCUCACCAAGGCGACGAUCCUUAGCUGGUCUGAGAGGACGACCAGCCACACUGGGACUGAGACACGGCCCAGACUCCUACGGGAGGCAGCAGUGGGGAAUAUUGGACAAUGGGCGAAAGCCUGAUCCAGCAAUGCCGCGUGAGUGAUGAAGGCCCUAGGGUUGUAAAGCUCUUUUACCCGGGAUGAUAAUGACAGUACCGGGAGAAUAAGCUCCGGCUAACUCCGUGCCAGCCGCCGCAGUAA
rnacentral:rRNA from 1 species